rnacentral:misc_RNA from 1 species
AUCACGGUACUCCUUGUACAUGUUAUGAUACCCAGUCCUACUUUGGUAACGCAGCCAAAUACCAUAGUUCUUGAUUUUUGUUGGGUAUUUCUCAAAAAUCUCAUUAAUAGCUAGCAUCUGACCAUUGCUCUUCUUCACCUUCUUUAGCUUCCUCAAGAAGUACCAAAACUUGGACUUAGCACGGACCUCAUUCGUAGCCCAGAGUUUCAUACGGUAAAUCUUUGGAUGCUCAUCGUUUUCAGACGGUAGAGCUCUCCCUACAACCUGAUAUUGAUGGAAUUUGUAGGUCACCAUUUCUGCUU